UACGAAGGGUGCAAGCGUUAAUCGGAAUUACUGGGCGUAAAGCGCGCGUAGGUGGUUCAGUAAGUUGGAAGUGAAAUCCCCGGGCUCAACCUGGGAACUGCUUUCAAAACUGCUGAGCUAGAGUACGGUAGAGGGUGGUGGAAUUUCCUGUGUAGCGGUGAAAUGCGUAGAUAUAGGAAGGAACACCAGUGGCGAAGGCGACCACCUGGACUGAUACUGACACUGAGGUGCGAAGGCGUGGGGAGCAAACAGG
rnacentral:rRNA from 1 species